GGGGCCUGCUCUCAAUAUGAGGCUGUACGCGGCUGUGCUCUCGGGCCAGUUUUGCGGAGGCUGAAUUAUUUAUUACCCUUGUCUUUUGCGCACUUGUUGUUUCCUGGGCGGGUUCGCCCGCCACCAGGACCACAUCAUAAACCUUUUUUAUGCAGUUGCAAUCAGCGUCAGUAUAACAAAUGUAAAUCAUUUACAACUUUCAACAACGGAUCUCUUGGUUCUGGCAUCGAUGAAGAACGCAGCGAAAUGCGAUACGUAGUGUGAAUUGCAGAAUUCAGUGAAUCAUCGAAUCUUUGAACGCACAUUGCGCCCUUUGGUAUUCCAAAGGGCAUGCCUGUUCGAGCGUCAUUUGUACCCUCAAGCUUUGCUUGGUGUUGGGCGUUUUUUGUCUUUGGUUGCCAAAGACUCGCCUUAAAAGGAUUGGCAGCCGGCCUACUGGUUUCGCAGCGCAGCACAUUUUUGCGCUUGCAAUCAGCAAAAGAGGACGGCAAUCCAUCAAGACUCCUUCUCACGUUUGACCUCGGAUCAGGUAGGGAUACCCGCUGAACUUAAGCAUAUCAAUAAGCGGAGGAA
rnacentral:rRNA from 1 species